rnacentral:ncRNA from 1 species
AAUAAAGGCAAAUCAAUCUAAAGAUUGAGACGCAAAGUCACAGACCUAACGUUUUUCGACUAUGGUGGCUGGACUACAGA